rnacentral:rRNA from 1 species
AGARACUAACAAGGAUUCCCCUAGUAACUGCGAGUGAAGCGGGAAAAGCUCAAAUUUAAAAUCUGGUGGUCUUUGGCCAUCCGAGUUGUAAUUUAGAGAAGCGUCUUCCGCGCUGGACCGUGCACAAGUCUCCUGGAAUGGAGCGUCGUAGAGGGUGAGAAUCCCGUCUUUGGCACGGACGCACCAGGGCUUCUGUGAUGCGCUCUCGAAGAGUCGAGUUGUUUGGGAAUGCAGCUCAAAAUGGGUGGUGAACUCCAUCUAAAGCUAAAUAUUGGCGAGAGACCGAUAGCGAACAAGUACCGUGAGGGAAAGAUGAAAAGCACUUUGGAAAGAGAGUGAAACAGUACGUGAAAUUGUUGAAAGGGAAACGCUUGAAGUCAGUCGCGUCGCCCGAGACUCAGCCUCGCCUCGGCUUGGUGUACUUCUCGGCCGACGGGUCAGCAUCAAUUUCGCCCCUUGGAUAAUGGCGAGGGAAAUGUGGCACCUUCACGGGUGUGUUAUAGUCUCUCGUCGCAUGCAAGGGUCGGGAUUGAGGAACUCAGCACGCGCCUUUCGGCGUCGGGGUUCGCCCACGAUACGUGCUUAGGAUGUUGGCGUAAUGGCUUUAAACGACCCGUCUUGAAACACGGACCAAGGAGUCUAACAUGCCCGCGAGUGUUCGGGUGGAAAACCCGUGCGCGCAAUGAAAGUGAAAGUUGGGACCUCUGUCGUGGAGGGCACCAACGCCCGGACCAGACCUUCUGUGACGGAUCUGCGGUAGAGCGUGUAUGUUAGGACCCGAAAGAUGGUGAACUAUGCCUGAAUAGGGUGAAGCCAGAGGAAACUCUGGUGGAGGCUCGUAGCGAUUCUGACGUGCAAAUCGAUCGUCAAAUUUGGGUAUAGGGGCGAAAGACUAAUCGAACCAUCUAGUAGCUGGUUCCUGCCGAGUUUC